rnacentral:rRNA from 1 species
GAUGAACGCUGGCGGCGUGCCUAAUACAUGCAAGUCGAGCGAACGGACGAGAAGCUUACUUCUCUGAUGUUAGCGGCGGACGGGUGAGUAACACGUGGAUAACCUACCUAUAAGACUGGGAUAACUUCGGGAAACCGGAGCUAAUACCGGAUAAUAUUUUGAACCGCAUGGUUCAAAAGUAAAAGACGGUCUUGCUGUCACUUAUAGAUGGAUCCGCGCUGCAUUAGCUAGUUGGUAAGGUAACGGCUUACCAAGGCAACGAUGCAUAGCCGACCUGAGAGGGUGAUCGGCCACACUGGAACUGAGACACGGUCCAGACUCCUACGGGAGGCAGCAGUAGGGAAUCUUCCGCAAUGGGCGAAAGCCUGACGGAGCAACGCCGCGUGAGUGAUGAAGGUCUUCGGAUCGUAAAACUCUGUUAUUAGGGAAGAACAUAUGUGUAAGUAACUGUGCACAUCUUGACGGUACCUAAUCAGAAAGCCGCGGCUAACUACGUG